rnacentral:rRNA from 1 species
UGGGGAAUAUUGGACAAUGGGGGCAACCCUGAUCCAGCCAUGCCGCGUGUGUGAAGAAGGCCUUUUGGUUGUAAAGCACUUUAAGCAGUGAAGAAGACUCCAUGGUUAAUACCCAUGGACGAUGACAUUAGCUGCAGAAUAAGCACCGGCUAACUCUGUGCCAGCAGCCGCGGUAAUACAGAGGGUGCAAGCGUUAAUCGGAAUUACUGGGCGUAAAGCGAGCGUAGGUGGCUUGAUAAGUCAGAUGUGAAAGCCCCGGGCUUAACCUGGGAACGGCAUCUGAUACUGUUAGGCUUGAGUAGGUGAGAGGAAGGUAGAAUUCCAGGUGUAGCGGUGAAAUGCGUAGAGAUCUGGAGGAAUACCGAUGGCGAAGGCAGCCUUCUGGCAUCAUACUGACACUGAGGUUCGAAAGCGUGGGUAGCAAACA